AACGGAAAGGCCCUGCUUUUGUGGGGUGCUCGAGUGGCGAACGGGUGAGUAACACGUGAGUAACCUGCCCUUGACUUUGGGAUAACUUAAGGAAACUGGGGCUAAUACCGGAUAGGAGCUCCUGCUGCAUGGUGGGGGUUGGAAAGUUUCGGCGGUUGGGGAUGGACUCGCGGCUUAUCAGCUUGUUGGUGGGGUAGUGGCUUACCAAGGCUUUGACGGGUAGCCGGCCUGAGAGGGUGACCGGCCACAUUGGGACUGAGAUACGGCCCAGACUCCUACGGGAGGCAGCAGUGGGGAAUAUUGCACAAUGGGCGGAAGCCUGAUGCAGCAACGCCGCGUGCGGGAUGACGGCCUUCGGGUUGUAAACCGCUUUCGCCUGUGACGAAGCGUGAGUGACGGUAAUGGGUAAAGAAGCACCGGCUAACUACGUGCCAGCAGCCGCGGUGAUACGUAGGGUGCGAGCGUUGUUCGGAUUUAUUGGGCGUAAAGGGCUCGUAGGUGGUUGAUCGCGUCGGAAGUGUAAUCUUGGGGCUUAACCCUGAGCGUGCUUUCGAUACGGGUUGACUUGAGGAAGGUAGGGGAGAAUGGAAUUCCUGGUGGAGCGGUGGAAUGCGCAGAUAUCAGGAGGAACACCAGUGGCGAAGGCGGUUCUCUGGGCCUUUCCUGACGCUGAGGAGCGAAAGCGUGGGGAGCGAACAGGCUUAGAUACCCUGGU
rnacentral:rRNA from 1 species